rnacentral:rRNA from 1 species
CCCUUAGAUGUUCUGGGCUGCACGCGCGCUACACUGAUGCACUCAACGAGUUUACGACCUUGCCCGAUAGGGUUGGGUAAUCUUUUUAAAAUGCAUCGUGAUGGGGAUAGAUUAUUGCAAUUAUUAAUCUUCAACGAGGAAUUCCUAGUAAGCGCGAGUCAUCAGCUCGUGCUGAUUACGUCCCUGCCCUUUGUACACACCGCCCGUCGCUCCUACCGAUUGAGUGCUCAGGUGAAUAAUUCGGACUGCAGCAGUGCUUGGUCCUCCGGGCUUUGCAGUGGAAAGUUUAGUGAACCUUAUCACUUAGAGGAAGGAGAAGUCGUAACA